ACAGCAUUUCUUGAAGGCUAACGGUGUACUCUGUUUGUCAGGCUCAUGACAAUGGUCUGUGUGUUUCAUGCUUCCAAUGUGAGGGACAGAAGGAAGACAGAAGCAAGUGUUGUGGCUGCAGACCCUGCCUUCCUCGCUGUCUGCAGUGGGCUGUGCUUUAUGCUCCAACUACCUGGGAGAAGUGAGGAGGCAAGGACUUUUCUCACCACAGGUGCCCUGUUGUUCUUCAAGGAAUAGGAAACAUACACACAGCCCGUGGGGGUGGCAUGCAGAGGACACAGAGGGAGCAUACAGAUGUAAAGAUGCAGCAAUUGCCCUUGAGAGGUUUCUUCAUGUUCCUGGGUUUCCCACAUUUCCAAACUCAGGUUUGGCCACAGCCCGGCUUCCAGCUCCUUAGGGCUGAGGAUUCUCUGCCGAGACUGCAGCCUUGGCUGUUCCAAGGUCUAUUCUCUGUCGCUCAUGAGUUGAGUUUUGCAGUCAUUAAAUUCUAUGCUUUCUGAGUGGUGGAGGGAGGACACAUGGCUCUCUGGGUAAAUUUCCAGCUCUCUGAGAGGAAUGAACGGGCAAGAGCUUUGCUCCUAACAUUCUUUCUGAUGGUUAGAGCAACCAGACCACGUCAGAGUUGAAAAGUCUGCCAGACAAGGGCUCACCAACCCCUUGCUUCACCUGUAUGGCAAAGCUUGAAGACAGUCACUAUUGGCUCUACUGUAGACAUCUGACACAAGUUUCAUGGGAGACAAAAGACUUUCCCUACAGUCCCCUGUGACAUGGUGGAUUACAAACUUGGAGGUCAUGAAAACUGUGGCAAGGCUGAAAUGUUUCUGAAUACAAAAUGACCCAAACUUUAUUUAAUAUCAAGUGAACAGAGUCAGGGUCAGGGGUGCUGCUGGCAGUGCUUGGCAGAGUGACAUCAUCCCACUCCACUGUGUCCUGGGUCUGGACAUACAAGGACACAUGCUGUUAUGCCACCCAGCAUCAAUGAAGACUGCCUAAAACACAUUGGCUCAUAUUCAAGACUAUUGCAUGAUUUGAGUUGGAGUGUUUUCACUGUACAUACACAGUGUUCUGUUCUUAAAGAAACAUAAUGGUUUGAUUAUGGAAAACAAAGACUUUUAAUAUUUUCCCAGCACCAUUCCUCCGCAUGUUAAGUAUCAAAUUAGUGUAUUUUUAGAUUGUAUUGUGUUCUAAUGUUUGGUUUUAAAAGUUACUGCUUGAGUUGCUGACUUGAGUUCUAUGAAAAAUCAUUAAAUGAAUUUUGACUUAGGAUUAGGAACAGAAUUUCCAACAAUGUCUAAAAUAAACCUAAACAUACUUUUGCCAUUCUGUACUGUUUAUUUAUUGUAAAGCAUUAGAAUUCAUGAUUGUAAAAUAAAAAUAUUGGUCACUGCUAAACAACACUCGUGUGUUCAACAUCUUGGUAUCAAAUAUUCAGUCAAGGUUUAAUUCUUUGCAUGACAACACACAAGAAUAUCUAUCUCUUGUCAUGUCAUCCUAACAUUGUAAAGACUUCUCAAGAAUGACAAGAUAAUAUGUUUAUCAAGGAAUCGAUUUAAAUAAAAUUCCUUAUAAUUUA
rnacentral:lncRNA from 1 species